rnacentral:lncRNA from 1 species
UUCACUUCUUAUUCUAAAAACUUCUUAUGGAGCUUGCUUCUGCUUAGGAGCCUCCUCUCUCUAGUUCUAAACUUCCUUUCUAACACUAGUAAGUGUUCUUUCUAGGCUAUCUCAAUUUAUUGGUUAGCUAUUAGUCGAAAGUCAAGCAAAUUGACUUUUGCUUUCACUUUCGAUUCUGGUCCGUUUGGUCUACUUUGAAACUCAAUCAAGGCAUUUUAAUGUGACCAUAAUAUUAUAGGGAAUAACCCUCUGAGUUUCUACCUUUGGGUCAUAUCAUUUGAAGGGUUAAUUGACGAGUCAACCAUAUAUACUUUUAAAAAUGUCAAAAAUGCCCUUACAGCAUAAAAAUGAUUUUAAAACCUAUGGGGCAUAUAACCUGACCUCAAAACUGAUCAUACAAUAUUUUAAAAUGUGUUUCGACAUAACGGAUUCGUCAUAGACCUAUUCGACCACCCGAUGUCGUAAUUACACGAACAACUAGUUUAAAUAAUAUAAAUAUAUAAACUAGUCGAAUUGGGUUUAAACCUUUCAAAACCAUUCCAAAUGAGAAUGUUUCGUUAAAUCUAGCGAAACCGAAUAAAAUUCUAAGUAAUGGGUAAAGUCAUAGAAGUUACUAAAUGACUCGUGAACGUUACGACUUGUUAGACAAUGACGAAUCAAUUGCUAUUAUGGUUAUCGUGACAAAUACGACAUCAAAAUAGCAUUUUGCUUAACUUAUGUGUUUGCGUCAAACUUUUUAAGAUUUGUAAAUGCUCUGAAUUAUUUAAUUAUUGUUUAUGUAUAGUACAAAUAAACCAUCAACAAUAUGUAAACUUGUGUGUUUGGAAUGUCAACCCCUAACAACAACAUGUAUGUUUUACAAAGGCUAGCGGCACUUCUUGACGACGUUGAUUUCGAUAGGUGUAUUAACGAGAAGCUUAACGAAUUAAGUGAAAGGGUUAGGAAAAUACGUGAAAAAUAAAUUGAAUUAUAAAUCGUUGUUGGCGUGCUUUAUACACAUUAUUUUAUGCCUAACGUUGUUGAGAAAAAAUAUUUGGCUUAUAUAUAUUAGUAAUAGUAAUAGUUAAAGUGACUAAUUGAUUGUAAAUUUUGUGUUAAGUUUGUUGACAAUUAAUGUUAAUAUAUAUCGUUGUUGUUUUAUCCCGGCUGGGCUCAAUUCUAAUUUAUAUCAACUAGUUCCAUUUAAUGCUCGUAUUUAAAGACGUAUGUCCAAGCUUAUUCGACACUUAAUGUUUGUCAUGUGGUCCGUUAGACCUAAUCCGACCCGCACUACAUCCUGUCAAUUAUAUAAUGGCGCAACCACUUGACUAGGAGCUUCUUUCCUCCUACUUAACUCUCGACUCGUUAGUCUCCUCCCGAAUGUUUGGGGAACCCUCUUUACCAUCCCCCCCCCCCUCUCUACAUACACACAUAUACUUACAUAGCUCAUACAUAUACGCACCUAGUCAUUUAGUACAUUAACUUGAUCAACGAUGGUGAUUUUGAGUUUACGAACUCAUGAUCUAUUCUAGCAGGUUCUUUCAAGUUUUGUUCUUCUCAGGCUUAGAAAAAGACAACCAAUGCUUUAAUAGCCUUUUAAGUACAGAAAUAAUGUUAAUUAAGGUAAACUAGUAUUAAGGCCCCCGUGUUGCGACGGGGGCGUUAACCGUGCCAAGUAGCACCGAUACUACACGAAAAAACCUGUA